rnacentral:rRNA from 1 species
AACCUGAGAGUUUGAUCCUGGCUCAGAACGAACGCUGGCGGCAUGCCUAACACAUGCAAGUCGAACGCCCGUAGCAAUACGGGAGUGGCAGACGGGUGCAUAACACGUGGGAACCUACCCUUGGGUUCGGAAUAACCGCGGGAAACUGCGGCUAAUACCGGAUACGUCCUCUGGGAGAAAGAUUCAUCGCCCUUGGAGGGGCCCGCGUCGGAUUAGCUAGUUGGUGAGGUAACGGCUCACCAAGGCGACGAUCCGUAGCUGAUCUGAGAGGAUGAUCAGCCACACU